rnacentral:rRNA from 1 species
UACGGAGGGUGCAAGCGUUAAUCGGAAUUACUGGGCGUAAAGCGCACGCAGGCGGUCUGUCAAGUCGGAUGUGAAAUCCCCGGGCUCAACCUGGGAACUGCAUUCGAAACUGGCAGGCUAGAGUCUUGUAGAGGGGGGUAGAAUUCCAGGUGUAGCGGUGAAAUGCGUAGAGAUCUGGAGGAAUACCGGUGGCGAAGGCGGCCCCCUGGACAAAGACUGACGCUCAGGUGCGAAAGCGCGGGGAGCAAACAGGAUUAGAUACCCUGGUAGUCCACGCCGUAAACGAUGUCGAUUUGGAGGUUGUGCACUUGAGGCGUGGGUUCCGGAGCUAACGCGUUAAAUCGACCGCCUGGGGAGUACGGCCGCAAGGUUAAA